rnacentral:rRNA from 1 species
GAUGAACGCUGGCGGCGUGCCUAACACAUGCAAGUCGAGCGAUUUACUUCGGUAAAGAGCGGCGGACGGGUGAGUAACGCGUGGGUAACCUGCCUCAUACACAUGGAUAACAUACCGAAAGGUAUGCUAAUACAAGAUAAUAUAAGAGAUUCGCAUGGGUCUCUUAUCAAAGCUCCGGCGGUAUGAGAUGGACCCGCGUCUGAUUAGCUAGUUGGUAAGGUAACGGCUUACCAAGGCGACGAUCAGUAGCCGACCUGCGAGGGUGAUCGGCCACAUUGGAACUGAGACAAGGUCCAAACUCCUACGGGAGGCAGCAGUGGGGAAUAUUGCACAAUGGGCGGAAGGCUGAUGCAGCAACGCCGCGUGAGGGAUGAAGGCCUUCGGGUCGUAAAGCUCUGUCCAAUGGGAAGAUAAUGACAGGACCCUUGGAGGAAGCCCCGGCUAAAUACGUGCCAGCCGCCGCGGUAACAC